UGUGAGGAGUGAACGCUGCAAUAAUCCCUGCAAAGCCCCUGGAAGACUGUCUGGCACAGCCCAAAGAAAAGGAUUCAAACUCAUGGCCAGAAGGCUGGAUAAGACCUACAGGCACAUUUUAUUUAGCCUUCAGAAUGUUUACUAAGAUUGCUUCCUAUGUGAUGGAUGGGCCUCAUCUAGUCAGUUGAAGGACAAAAAAAUAGAAGAAAAAGCCCAGCCCCCCUGGGCAAGAGAUAAUUCCCCAGCAGACUGCCUUCACCCUGGAACUGCAAUAUCAACUCUCCCGGGUCCCUAGUCAACUGGCACAGCCUAGAGAUCUUGGACUUGCCAGCCUCCAUAAUCACAGAGGGAUUGGGAGAGAGGAGUUACCCUCUCUCUUGCAGAGAGACUUGGUCAGGCUUUGUGGUGAGGAAAGAAGAGGAACUGGUCCCAGCCUCGUGAAGGAGUCACGCUUCCUGGCUGUAUGUUCUCGGGCAAGUUGCUUCACCUCACUGUGCCUCAGUUUUCUCAUCUCUUAAAUAAGGAUAAUAAUGUUACCUACUUUAUAGGGUUGUUGGGAGGAUUCAUGAGUUAAUCCAUGUCAAGUUUUCAG